rnacentral:rRNA from 1 species
AUGAACGCUAGCUACAGGCUUAACACAUGCAAGUCGAGGGGCUGCAUGGUCUUAGCUUGCUAAGGCCGAUGGCGACCGGCGCACGGGUGAGUAACACGUAUCCAACCUGCCGUCUACUCUUGGACAGCCUUCUGAAAGGAAGAUUAAUACAAGAUGGCAUCAUGAGUCCGCAUGUUCACAUGAUUAAAGGUAUUCCGGUAGACGAUGGGGAUGCGUUCCAUUAGAUAGUAGGCGGGGUAACGGCCCACCUAGUCUUCGAUGGAUAGGGGUUCUGAGAGGAAGGUCCCCCACAUUGGAACUGAGACACGGUCCAAACUCCUACGGGAGGCAGCAGUGAGGAAUAUUGGUCAAUGGGCGAGAGCCUGAACCAGCCAAGUAGCGUGAAGGAUGACUGCCCUAUGGGUUGUAAACUUCUUUUAUAAAGGAAUAAAGUCGGGUAUGCAUACCCGUUUGCAUGUACUUUAUGAAUAAGGAUCGGCUAACUCCGUGCCAGCAGCCGCGGUAAUACGGAGGAUCCGAGCGUUAUCCGGAUUUAUUGGGUUUAAAGGGAGCGUAGAUGGAUGUUUAAGUCAGUUGUGAAAGUUUGCGGCUCAACCGUAAAAUUGCAGUUGAUACUGGAUAUCUUGAGUGCAGUUGAGGCAGGCGGAAUUCGUGGUGUAGCGGUGAAAUGCUUAGAUAUCACGAAGAACUCCGAUUGCGAAGGCAGCCUGCUAAGCUGCAACUGACAUUGAGGCUCGAAAGUGUGGGUAUCAAACAGGAUUAGAUACCCUGGUAGUCCACACGGUAAACGAUGAAUACUCGCUGUUUGCGAUAUACGGCAAGCGGCCAAGCGAAAGCGUUAAGUAUUCCACCUGGGGAGUACGCCGGCAACGGUGAAACUCAAAGGAAUUGACGGGGGCCCGCACAAGCGGAGGAACAUGUGGUUUAAUUCGAUGAUACGCGAGGAACCUUACCCGGGCUUAAAUUGCAGAUGAAUUACGGUGAAAGCCGUAAGCCGCGAGGCAUCUGUGAAGGUGCUGCAUGGUUGUCGUCAGCUCGUGCCGUGAGGUGUCGGCUUAAGUGCCAUAACGAGCGCAACCCUUGUUGUCAGUUACUAACAGGUUCCGCUGAGGACUCUGACAAGACUGCCAUCGUAAGAUGUGAGGAAGGUGGGGAUGACGUCAAAUCAGCACGGCCCUUACGUCCGGGGCUACACACGUGUUACAAUGGGGGGUACAGAGGGCCGCUACCACGCGAGUGGAUGCCAAUCCCAAAAACCUCUCUCAGUUCGGACUGGAGUCUGCAACCCGACUCCACGAAGCUGGAUUCGCUAGUAAUCGCGCAUCAGCCACGGCGCGGUGAAUACGUUCCCGGGCCUUGUACACACCGCCCGUCAAGCCAUGGGAGCCGGGGGUACCUGAAGUGCGUAACCGCGAGGAG